AGAAUCAACGCUGGCGGCGUGCCUAACACAUGCAAGUCGAACGAGAAAGUGGAGCAAUCCAUGAGUAAAGUGGCGACCGGGUGAGUAACACGUGACUAACCUACCUUCGAGUGGGGGAUAACAUCGGGAAACCGAUGCUAAUACCGCAUAACAUCGCAAGAUCAAAGCAGCAAUGCGCUGGAAGAGGGGGUCGCGGCUGAUUAGCUAGUUGGCGGGUAACGGCCCACCAAGGCGAAGAUCGGUAGCCGGCCUGAGAGGGCGCACGGCCACACUGGAACUGAAACACGGUCCAGACUCCUACGGGAGGCAGCAGUGGGGAAUUUUGCGCAAUGGGGGAAACCCUGACGCAGCAACGCCGCGUGGAGGAUGAAGCCCCUUGGGGUGUAAACUCCUUUCGACCAAGACGAUAAUGACGGUACUGGUGGAAGAAGCACCGGCUAACUCUGUGUCAGCAGCCGC
rnacentral:rRNA from 1 species